UUGCUCUUGGAUACUUAGAGACUUCUCCUGAGACCUAACUCAUCUUCAUCAAGGUGACCAUCGACUUGGAGAGCUUAUCAACAACUUUCCUUUUUCCUUUCUUCUUGUUUAUUUUAUUGCACUAUGUAAGAGACCCGAAACAUGGAGAGCAUCUGUAUUGUAGAAGCACAUAGCACAAAAUUCGCCAACUUCUAAAGAACUAGCAUAAAUAGUUGCUUUCUUGUGAUGUUUUUCAGAAUGCUUGUGCAAGUGGUGAAGAUGCAAAGAUAUUCGCAGCUAAAUUUGAAGAAAAGUGUUCCUGAACUUCACAACUCAAGCACGUAGCAAGCCAAACAAAAGUGUCUGGAGGAGAAGAUAGAGUAGCAAAAGGAAAAGAGACUUAAUGUAGAAAAAUACUUGUAUCUUUUAUUUCUUAUCAGGUAUUACUUGAGCAAAUGUAUUGUAUCGUUAUUUAACUUGUUUUCGAUGAUGUGCAACUAUAUCUAUUAAUUUCUAAAAUUGACAUU